rnacentral:rRNA from 1 species
UACAGAGGGUGCAAGCGUUGCUCGGAUUUACUGGGCGUAAAGCGUACGCAGACGGCUUGGUAGGUCGGAUGUGAAAGCCCCGGGCUCAACCCGGGAAUUGCAUCCGAAACCACCUCGCUCGAGUGUGGGAGAGGGAAGCGGAAUUCCUGGUGUAGAGGUGAAAUUCGUAGAUAUCAGGAGGAACACCGGCGGCGAAGGCGGCUUCCUGGCCCAUUACUGACGCUCAGGUACGAAAGCGUGGGGAGCAAACAGG